rnacentral:rRNA from 1 species
GUCCUAGCCGUAAACGGUGCACGUUUGCUGUAAAAGGAAUCGACCCCUUUUGUGGCGAAGCUAACGCGUUAAACGUGCCGCCUGGGAAGUACGGUCGCAAGAUUAAAACUCAAAGAAAUUGACGGGGGCCUGCACAAGCGGUGGAGUAUGUGGCUUAAUUCGAUGCAACGCGAAGAACCUUACCUGGCCUUGACAUGCAAGUAGUAGAAGGAUGAAAGUCUGACGAGGUAGCAAUACCAGCUUGCACAGGUGCUGCAUGGCUGUCGU